rnacentral:rRNA from 1 species
GACAGAGGGUGCAAACGUUGCUCGGAAUUACUGGGCGUAAAGCGCGUGUAGGCUGACCGGAAAGUCGGGCGUGAAAUCCCUGAGCUCAACUCAGGAACUGCACUCGAAACUCUCGGUCUAGAGUGGUGGAGAGGGAAGUGGAAUUCCUGGUGUAGAGGUGAAAUUCGUAGAUAUCAGGAGGAACACCAGUGGCGAAGGCGGCUUCCUGGACACCAACUGACGCUGAGACGCGAAAGCGUGGGGAGCAAACAGG